GAUCAUGGCUCAGGAUGAACGCUAGCGGCAGGCCUAACACAUGCAAGUCGAGGGGCAGCGCGGGGCGGCAACGUCCUGGCGGCGACCGGCGGAAGGGUGCGUAACGCGUGAGCGACAUGCCCGUUGCCCGGGGACAACCGGGUGGAAACGCCGACUAAUCCCCGAUGGGACGGAGGCCCUCAUGGGUCUCUGUUGAAAGUUACGGCGGCGACGGAUUGGCUCGCGUCCGAUUAGCUAGUUGGCGGGGUAACGCC
rnacentral:rRNA from 1 species